GCCCUGAUAGUGUAGCGGCUUAGCAUCUGAGACUGUCACUCUCAGGACGCGGGUUCAAAUCCCGCUCAGGGCG
rnacentral:tRNA from 1 species